rnacentral:miRNA from 1 species
CAGAGCGGGCAGUCGGUGUCAAUC